rnacentral:rRNA from 2 species
CUUGGUGAGUAUAGCUAUGGAGGUACACCUAGUUACAUUCCGAACCUAGAAGUUAAGCCCAUAUACGCUGAUGGUACUUGGCUGGAAGCGGCCUGGGAGAGUAUGGAUUUGCCAAGC